rnacentral:rRNA from 1 species
ACCGGAACGUAUUUAUUAGAUAUUAAACCAAUUGCAGCAAUGUAAUUGAGAUGAUUCAAAGUAACUGAUCGAAUCGUAGCUUGCUACGAUAAAUCAUCUAAGUUUCUGCCCUAUCAGCUCUCGAUGGUAGUGUAUUGGACUACCAUGGCAGUCACGGGUAACGGAGAAUUAGGGUUCGAUUCCGGAGAAGGAGCCUGAGAAACGGCUACUACAACUACGGUUUGGCAGCAGGGAAGAAAAUUGGCCAAUCCUAAUUCAGGGAGCCAGUGACAAGAAAUAGCAGACCGGGAAACUUAGUUUCUACGGUACUGAAAUGAGAACAGUGUUAAUCUCUUAGCGAGAAACAAUUGGAGGGCAAGCCUGGUGCCAGCAGCCGCGGUAAUUCCAGCUCCAAUAGCGUAUAUUAAAGUUGUUGCAGUUAAAAAGCUCGUAGUUGAACUUCUGUCCAGGUUCGUCUUGGCUCGCCAGGACAAUUCUGGACAUACGUCUGCAAGCUAAAAUCGGCCUUCACUGGUACGACUUAGUAAGUAGACAUUUUACUGUGAAAAAAUUAGAGUGUUUCAGGCAGGUUUUAGCCCGUAUACAUUAGCAUGGAAUAAUGGAAUAGGACUAAGUCCAUUUUAUUGGUUCUUGGAUUUGGUAAUGAUUAAUAGGGACAGUUGGGGGCAUUAGUAUUUAAUAGUCAGAGGUGAAAUUCUUGGAUUUAUUAAGGACUAACUAAUGCGAAAGCAUUUGCCAAAGAUGUUUUCAUUAAUCAAGAACGAAAGUUAGGGGAUCAAAGACGAUUAGAUACCGUCGUAGUCUUAACUAUAAACUAUACCGACUCGGGAUCGGCUGGAAUACAUGUCCAGUCGGCACCGUAUGAGAAAUCAAAGUCUUUGGGUUCUGGGGGAAGUAUGGUACGCAAGUCUGAAACUUAAAGGAAUUGACGGAACAGCACACCAGAAGUGGAACCUGCGGCUUAAUUUGACUCAACACGGGGAAACUCACGAGCGCAAGACAGAGAAGGGAUUGACAGAUUGAGAGCUCUUUCUUGAUUCUUUGGGUGGUGGUGCAUGGCCGUUCUUAGUUGGUGGAGUGAUUUGUCUGG